rfam:Myotis brandtii contig127823, whole genome shotgun sequence.
GGCAGUUCUCAGGUGACACACCCUGAAUCAGGCUCCCUUCUCUCUGGUUCCGGGUGCAUCAGCCAAGAACUGCA